UGCAGCAGGCGCGAAACCUUUACACUGCACGCCAGUGCGAUAAGGGGAUCCCAAGUGCGUAGGCAUAGAGCCUACGCUUUUGUCCACCCUAGGGUGGUGGACGAAUAAGGGCUGGGCAAGACCGGUGCCAGCCGCCGCGGUAAUACCGGCAGCCCGAGUGAUGGCCGAUCUUAUUGGGCCUAAAGCGUCCGUAGCUGGCCGCACAAGUCCAUCGGGAAAUCCACCUGCUCAACAGGUGGGCGUCCGGUGGAAACUGUGUGGCUUGGGACCGGAAGGCGCGACGGGUACGUCCGGGGUAGGAGUGAAAUCCCGUAAUCCUGGACGGACCGCCGAUGGCGAAAGCACGUCGCGAAAACGGAUCCGACAGUGAGGGACGAAAGCUAGGGUCUCGAACCGGAUUAGAUACCCGGGUAGUCCUAGCCGUAAACACUGCCUGCUAGGUGUGGCACCCACUACGAGUGGGUGCUGUGCCGUAGGGAAGCCGCUAAGCAG
rnacentral:rRNA from 1 species